UAUGAACUAGCGCAAAAUUUCACAGAUGAGAAGCUAAUCAAAUAGCAACACUGUGUACAAUGAUUUAAAAUCUGUACCCAGUGAGGUUUUAUGAGAUGCAGUCAUUUGCACAAAGGUAAAAAAAAUUGACUAAAUUUUGAAGGCAGUCUGGCCCCACAUGUUACACCACAU